GACGAACGCUGGCGGCGUGCUUAACACAUGCAAGUCGAACGGAAAGGCCCUGCUUUUGUGGGGUGCUCGAGUGGCGAACGGGUGAGUAACACGUGAGUAACCUGCCCUUGACUUUGGGAUAACUUCAGGAAACUGGGGCUAAUACCGGAUAGGAGCUCCUGCUGCAUGGUGGGGGUUGGAAAGUUUCGGCGGUUGGGGAUGGACUCGCGGCUUAUCAGCUUGUUGGUGGGGUAGUGGCUUACCAAGGCUUUGACGGGUAGCCGGCCUGAGAGGGUGACCGGCCACAUUGGGCCUGAGACACACCCCAGACUCCUACGGGAGGCAGCAGUGUGGAAUAUUGCACAAUGAGCGGAAGCCUGAUGAAGCAACGCCGCGUGCGGGAUGACGGCCUUCGGAUUGUAAACCGCUUUCGCCUGUGACGAAGCGUGAGUGACGGUAAUGAGUAAAGAAGCACCGGCUAACUACGUG
rnacentral:rRNA from 1 species